rnacentral:misc_RNA from 1 species
GAUGAAGAACGUAGCGAAAUGCGAUACGUAAUGUGAAUUGCAGAAUUCAGUGAAUCAUCGAGUCUUUGAACGCACAUUGCGCCCCCUGGUAUUCCGGGGGGCAUGCCUGUCCGAGCGUCAUUGCUGCCCUCAAGCACGGCUUGUGUGUUGGGCCUCCGUCCUCCUCCCGGGGGACGGGCCCGAAAGGCAGCGGCGGCACCGCGUCCGGUCCUCGAGCGUAUGGGGCUUCGUCACCCGCUCUUGUAGGCCCGGCCGGCGCUUGCCGACACAUCAAUCUUUUUUCCAGGUUGACCUCGGAUCAGGUAGGGAUACCCGCUGAACUUAAGCAUAGCAAUAAGCGGAGGA